AGCAAAAUUAUAGUUAUGAGGCGGCAACGAAAAUAACUUUAUGGUUGGGAGGUCACCACAGCAUGAGGAACUGUAAUACAGGGUUGCAUUAUUGGGAAGGUAGAGAACCACUGACCUGGUGGGUCAGUACUUGGGUGAACCCGGGUUGCCCAGCAUCUAUCUCCAGAGGAAGAAUUCUGAAUGUAAGUAAGUCUUGGGUCGAAGGUGGAAGGCUUCACAUCAGUCCUGUCAGUCUUGGAGGUGUGGCUGCUGGGGGCCACCCGUGAUGUCUGCAGCUUUAAUAUACAGUACCGAUGCUUGAAUAUGAGCAGGCUUGCAGAUAAUCAAAGCAUGGCUGGAGGUAGGAAUUUAAUGUCAGGAUCCCAGCCAGGGCUGGCAAGCCAUAUAUGUGCUAAUGUGGCAAUUUCAACCUUGGACUUAAGGUCAAGAUUGAUUUAGUGAAAAAUAUUAUUCUGCAAUGGAAUAGAUGCCUUCUGAAUUAGAUUGUGGGGGAUUCUGGAGGAUGGGGAGUGUACGGUGUAGAUAACCCAAAUGGCCGAAGUAAGAACAGCUUUAAGGCAGAGUGCAAUGAGACACAAUAUUUUUUCCUUAUACGUAGGAAAAAAAAAUCCUUUGUUGGCAGGCUGCAUAUAUUUUGACAAUUUUGAGAAGUAACACUGUUUUUUUUUUGUUUUUUUUUUUUUAAAAAAAAAACUUUUUAUUAUAGAAAAUGUCAAAUACUCCCUAACGUACCUGUAGUUCAACUUCUAACUUUUAUUUUUGACUUUAUGAUACUAUGAAAACAAUUCACACCAGCGGAAACCAUGCUUGGAAAUUGGAACUCAGAUCCUUUCCCUGGCCAUCUCUGUGCUGUCUAGUCCUCGGACAGUCCCCGUGGGUCCCGGUUCACCUACUGACCGCAAGGAGACCAUCAAGGCCCCGCAGCACGGACCUGGACUGUGGGGUAGGGAAGAUGAAUCCAGCACAUUGGCAACUUGACAAUAUGGCCAAUUUAAGGUAGUUUUAGCAGGGUCAUCAUGAGUCAAGGAGCAGUUAUACUGAGUUAGAGAUAGCAUUACUAAAGUUAUUGACUUCCCCUCUAAGGAGCCAGAGAGUUAAGUUUAGGUUUCUCAUGUCCCUGUCUCUGUGAUUCAUUUCCGCUGUCCCAGCAGAUAAAUAUCUACAGACAGGACCAACAGGAACAAACAGGGAUCCAUUCUAGGGAGACGCUGCCACUGGAGUUCUAUGUGAUCUUUACAUGCUAGCUAGGCAGUAUUAUUGUGAUGGUUAUUCUUGGUUGUCAACUUGGCUACAUCUGGACUUAACUAAAUCCCAAGCAGCUACACCUGUGAGGGAUUUUUUCUUAAUUAAAUCAUUUGAAGUGGGAAGACCCACUUUUCAUCCAAGUCUUCUGAGGCUUGAAGAGCCACCUUCAGUCUGGGCCACACCUUCUGCUGGCAGCCUAUAUGAAGGACAUGGAAGAAGGAAGCUUGUUCUCUUUGCCUGCUUCUCUCGCUCUUGCUAGCAAGUCCAUUCCUUCACGGGCCUUAGAGCCGACUCCUUCCGGAUUCUGGUGUGUACUGAAGACCAGCCGAGACAUGCAGCCUCAUGGACUGAACAGCUACUAGAUUCAUGGACCUUCCUUUGGUAGACAGCCGUUGUUGGACUAGCUGGACCACAGCCUGUAAGCCACUCCAUACUGUGCUGGACCAUUGUCACGGGCUGAAUGAGGAACGUCACGGCCAUUGUCACGGGCUGAAUGAGGAACGUCACAGCCGGUAGGCUCAGACGCUGGAACACUUGGUCCUCGGGUGGCGCUGUGUGGGGAGCUGGUGUGGCUCUGAUGGAGGAAGUAGGCUGGGGUUCUGAGAGUUCAUAGCCUCAGCUCACUUCUAGUGUGCCGUCUGCUGUGGUCACGCUUGAGGAUGUGAGCUCCAAGCUUUCUGCCCCUGCCCCCAUCCGGCUAUAAGCUGCCCAGCCUCCCGCCAUGACGGACUCCUAUCCUCUGGAACUGCAAGUCCAAAUAAAGCCUCUCGCCCGGGGGGCCUUAGGCCAUGGUGUUUGUCACAGCAACAGAAAAGUAACUAAUACAUUGGCCUGGAAGAUGAGACCCUGAAGACUUGAUCCUUACAAAUGGUCCCCUUAAGGGUUUUUCCUAAAACAUCAUGUCCUUUGUCUUGGCGACAUAGUCCUCAGGUAAGAUUCAUUCCCCAUCUUCAUUGGUCAUGUCACAGCUCGGGUGUGAUUAGUCUCCACUAAAACUCAUGCUGAACCUUUUCCUCAAAGCAGCAGUGUUAGAGGUGAUGAGGCCUACACUCUGAAGGUGAGUUCAGCUCUCUGGGGUCUUUCUGGCUUCCGCUGUUGUGUGGUGUUUUGUCUUUGCUGUGUGUCUGCUUCCUGCUGUGAGAUGAAGCGCUGCGAGGUCCUUACCACCAGCUAAGAAGAAGAUGGCGCCUCCACGCUCUUGAACUCCAUCUCCAAACCCACAACCGAAAUAAAGUAUUUUGCCUUAGGACUCUUGUGACAGCAAGAGCAAACAGGCUAAGACAGUCGGGAGGUCAAGGCUCCCAAGAGCCCAAGCGUCCUGCAAACUGUAGGAAACAGUUUCACGUUAGUCCCAGGCUCAGCCCCAGAGGACCCUGGGGCAAGUCACAGUGUCCCGCCUUGAGUAUUUCCAGUGUGGAGCUCCACCUUCUGGCUUUGGUUUUUGUUUUCCCGGGUGUAUUUGCUUUGCUCACAGCCUGAGGGUGAGAGCUGGUUCUGACAGAGUCCCUUGACCAUUUGCUGUUACCUUCUUUUCAUGAAAGGCACUCGGCCAGAGGCAUAGGACAGUAAGGAUGUUCAUGUGGUCCUGGGUGAACCGCUCCAGAGCUUCAGUGCAGAGGGAGGCUCUUCAGUGAGCGGACAUUGACUAUGACAUGUAGGGAGCAGAGGCGGCGGUGGGUGCUGGGUAGAUAGAGAGGUGAGGAUCGAAGAGGAAAAGGAGUCAGAGAGUUUCCUAGAACACGUGACCACGAAGCUGAUCCCUGGGAGUAAAAUCUGGACCCCUGUAGAAGGUCACUGGGAAAGAAACUCCAGAGAGAAACUGGUCCAAGCACCUAGAGGCAAACUAGUUCACAUGGGGUAUGAAGACAUUGAGGUUCUGGGGCAUUAGGCUCCACUGAUUAUAAUCAAAACUGCAGAAAACCUACUUCGGAAUAGGCUCUGUGGGAUGUAUCGUUUAGAGCUGUAAAUCACCAUCACACUGGGUCCCUUCCACCAGAACACGCCGGACAUUAGGCAAGAUAUAUGUCCACCCCUAAAAUUUCCUUCUCCCACUGGGUCUCAAAUCCCUCUGGGUCAGCACUGUGAAUGUUACUUUGCCAGUUAAAGGCAGCCUAGAAAUAUGCAGAAUCUGUAAAUAUCGAAAGGUGAUUUGAUUAUAAAAACAUUAGAUUUGGGGCUUGUCUCCUGGAAGACAGAGGAAGGAAGAGAUAGCUUCUAAGUGCAUUGGAGAACCUGAAUUUGCAUUUGUUGGCUAUAACAAAAUGUCAGCUGGUAAGUUAAUGGGCUGAUAAUUACUAUUCUUCUCUGUCAACAGGUUCUGAGGGUGCUGGUAAAUGGAAAUCCAGAUCUCUGCUCGGAGAUCAAAUAUAUCCUGGACUUGCCUGAAAGGGGUCAGAAAAAUUAAGUGAGAUAAAUGGGCAGAGAGGUUGGAGCAAAUGUCUUUGAUUUGUGCAAGAGAGCCAUAAAAAUAAAAUCUCUGGGGCCAUUUCAUCUUA